UACGGGGGGUGCAAGCGUUGUUCGGAAUUACUGGGCGUAAAGGGCUCGUAGGCGGCCAACUAAGUCGGACGUGAAAUCCCCAGGCUCAACCUGGGAACUGCGUCCGAUACUGGAUGGCUUGAAUCCGGGAGAGGGAUGCAGAAUUCCAGGUGUAGCGGUGAAAUGCGUAGAUAUCUGGAGGAAUACCGGUGGCGAAGGCGGCAUCCUGGACCGGCAUUGACGCUGAGGCGCGAAAGCGUGGGGAGCAAACGGG
rnacentral:rRNA from 1 species